UCCUUAACUCAUGCCGCUGUGCCUUUUUAUUUGUUUCACAAUUGUGUGAGUUGAGUACA
rnacentral:pre_miRNA from 1 species